rnacentral:rRNA from 1 species
CGCGUAGGCGGUUGACACAGUCAGGCGUGAAAUUCCUGGGCUUAACCUGGGGGCUGCGCUUGAUACAUGUUGGCUUGAGUGUGGAAGAGGGUCGUGGAAUUCCCAGUGUAGAGGUGAAAUUCGUAGAUAUUGGGAAGAACACCGGUGGCGAAGGCGGCGACCUGGUCCAUUACUGACGCUGAGGCGCGAAAGCGUGGGGAGCAAACAGGAUUAGAUACCCUGGUAGUCCACGCUGUAAACGAUGUGUGCUGGAUGUUGGGUGGCCUAGCCAUUCAGUGUCGUAGCUAACGCGGUAAGCACACCGCCUGGGGAGUACGGCCGCAAGGUUGAA